rnacentral:rRNA from 1 species
GUGAACGCUGGCGGUAGGCCUAACACAUGCAAGUCGAACGGCAGCACAGUAAGAGCUUGCUCUUACGGGUGGCGAGUGGCGGACGGGUGAGGAAUACAUCGGAAUCUACUUUUUCGUGGGGGAUAAGGUAGGGAAACUUACGCUCAUACCGCAUACGACCUACGGGUGAAAGCAGGGGAUAUUCGGACCUUGCGCGAAUGAAUGAGCCGAUGUCGGAUUAGCUAGUUGGCGGGGUAAAGGCCCACCAAGGCGACUAACCGUAGCUGGUCUGCGGGGAUGAUCAGCCACACUGGAACUGAGACACGGUCCAGACUCCUACGGGAGGCAGCAGUGGGGAAUAUUGGACAAUGGGCGCAAGCCUGAUCCAGCCAUACCGCGUGGGUUAAGAAGUCCUUCGGGUUGUAAAGCCCUUUUGUUGGGAAAGAAAAGCAGCAGGUUAAUACCCCGCUGUUCUGACGGUACCCAAAGAAUAAGCACCGGCUAACUUCGUG